GCCCUUGUAGCUCAGUUGGAUUAGAGCACCUGCCUUCUAAGCAGGGGGUCGCAGGUUCGAGUCCUGUCAAGGGCA
rnacentral:tRNA from 1 species